rnacentral:rRNA from 1 species
CCUACGGGUGGCAGCAGUGGGGGAUAUUGCACAAUGGGGGAAACCCUGAUGCAGCGACGCCGCGUGGGUGAAGAAGUAUUUCGGUAUGUAAAGCCCUAUCAGCAGGGAAGAAAGAAGACGGUACCUGACUAAGAAGCCCCUGCUAACUACGUGCCAGCAGCCGCGGUAAUACGUAGGGGGCGAGCGUUAUCCGGAUUCACUGGGUGUAAAGGGAGCGUAGACGGCCGUGCAAGUCUGAAGUGAAAGGCGGGGGCCCAACCCCUGGACUGCUUUGGAAACUGUAUGGCUGGAGUGCAGGAGAGGUAAGUGGAAUUAGUAGUGUAGCGGUGAAAUGCGUAGAUAUUAGGAGGAACACCAGUGGCGAAGGCGGCUUACUGGACUGUAACUGACGUUGAGGCUCGAAAGCGUGGGGAGCAAACAGGAUUAGAUACCCUUGUAGUC